rnacentral:rRNA from 1 species
CCUACGGGAGACUGCAGUGAGGAAUAUUGGUCAAUGGACGAGAGUCUGAACCAGCCAAGUAGCGUGAAGGAUGACUGCUCUAUGGGUUGUAAACUUCUUUUAUAUGGGAAUAAAAUGUUCCACGUGUGGAAUUUUGUAUGUACCAUAUGAAUAAGGAUCGGCUAACUCCGUGCCAGCAGCCGCGGUAAUACGGAGGGUCCGAGCGUUAUCCGGAUUUAGUGGGUUUAAAGGGAGCGUAGGUGGAUUGUUAAGUCAGUUGUGAAAGUUUGCGGCUCAACCGUAAAAUUGCAGUUGAAACUGGCAGUCUUGAGUAUAGUAGAGGUGGGCGGAAUUCGUGGUGUAGCGGUGAAAUGCUUAGAUAUCACGAAGAACUCCGAUUGCGAAGGCAGUUCACUGGACUGCAACUGACACUGAGGCUCGAAAGUGUGGGUAUCAAACAGGAUUAGAUACCCUAGUAGUC